rnacentral:rRNA from 1 species
UACGUAGGAUGCGAGCGUUAAUCGGAAUUACUGGGCGUAAAGCGUGCGCAGGCGGUUUUGUAAGACGGAUGUGAAAUCCCCGGGCUUAACCUGGGAACUGCAUUUGUGACUGCAAGGCUAGAGUGUGUCAGAGGGGGGUAGAAUUCCACGUGUAGCAGUGAAAUGCGUAGAGAUGUGGAGGAAUACCGAUGGCGAAGGCAGCCCCCUGGGAUAACACUGACGCUCAUGUACGAAAGCGUGGGUAGCAAACAGG